CAGCCGCCACGGGAAUACGAAGGGUGCAAGCGUUACUCGGAAUUACUGGGCGUAAAGCGUGUGUAGGUGGUUGUUUAAGUCUGUCGUGAAAGCCCUGGGCUCAACCUGGGAAUUGCGAUGGAUACUGGGCGACUAGAGUGCGGUAGAGGACAGUGGAAUUUCCGGUGUAGCGGUGAAAUGCGUAGAGAUCUGGAGGAAUACCGGUGGCGAAGGCGGCCCCCUGGACGAAGACUGAUGCUCAGGUACGAAAGCGUGGGGAGCAAACAGGAUUAGAUACCCCCGUAGUCCCUGUCUCUUAUAC
rnacentral:rRNA from 1 species